AGAGUCAAACAGUACGUGAAAUUGUUGAAAGGGAAACGAUUGAAGUCAGUCAUGUGAUCAAAGAAAUCAUCUUAACAUGAGUUGAAUUUUUUAUUAGAUUCAGGUUCUUUUUUUAAAUUCUUUUUGUGUCGAGUGUAAUUUCUUGAUUACAGGUUAGCAUCGAUUUUGUGGGUUGUAAAAUAAUUGGGGUAAUGUAGCUCUUCUUCGGGAGAGUGUUAUAGACCUUGAUAGGAUGCAAUCUGCGAGAUCGAGGAUUGCAGCAAAUACCCUUUGGGCUUGUCACCUGAUCCCUGGAAGUAGUUCCGUUGAUGGCAAUAUUCUUGACAUUGAUGGAAUAAUAUGACCAUUGGAUUAGAGUGAUCUAAAAUUUGCUAAGGAUGCUGACGAAAUGGCUUUAAACGACC
rnacentral:ncRNA from 2 species